UACGUAGGGUGCAAGCGUUGUCCGGAAUUAUUGGGCGUAAAGGGCUCGUAGGCGGCCAACUAAGUCGGAUGUGAAAUCCCCAAGCUUAACUUGGGAACUGCAUCCGAUACUGGAUGGCUUGAAUCCGGGAGAGGGAUGCAGAAUUCCAGGUGUAGCGGUGAAAUGCGUAGAUAUCUGGAGGAAUACCGGUGGCGAAGGCGGCAUCCUGGACCCGGCAUUGACGCUGAGG
rnacentral:rRNA from 1 species